UACGUAGGUGGCGAGCGUUGUCCGGAUUUACUGGGCGUAAAGAGCGCGCAGGCGGCUGGUCAAGUCUGUUGUGAAAUCUCCCGGCUUAACUGGGAGGGUGCGGCGGAGACUGGAGUGCUAGAGUGUGGGAGAGGUAAGCGGAAUUCCUGGUGUAGCGGUGAAAUGCGUAGAUAUCAGGAGGAACACCUGUGGUGUAGACAGCUUACUGGACCACGACUGACGCUGAGACACGAAAGCGUGGGUAGCAAACAGG
rnacentral:rRNA from 1 species